GGGGGAUUAGCUCAGCUGGGAGAGCGCUUGCAUGGCAUGCAAGAGGUCAGCGGUUCGAUUCCGCUAUUCUCCACCA
rnacentral:tRNA from 1 species